GUUAAAAGCUCGUAGUUGGAUUUCUGGUCUGGGCAUCCGGUCCGCCGCUGUGCGUGUGUACUUGGUUCGACCCGGCCUUCCUUGUGGGGAAUGUAUCUGGGCUUAAUUGGUCGAUAUUGGAACCACAUCGUUUACUGUGAAAAAAUUAGAGUGUUUAAAGCAGGCAUUUGCUGUGAAUACAUUAGCAUGGAAUAAUAAGAUAGGACUUUGGUUCUAUUUUGUUGGUUGGAGGCCAAGGUAAUGAUUAAUAGGGAUAGUUGGGGGUAUUCAUAUUUAAUUGUCAGAGGUGAAAUUCUUGGAUUUAUGAAAGAUGAACUUAUGCGAAAGCAUUUACCAAGGAUGUUU
rnacentral:rRNA from 1 species